GAAGUAAAAUGAGCUUCAAAAAUUGAAGUUUGGGUUUUCAUGCAUUACAUUUUCUUUGUCAAAAACUUUCUCACAGAUCAUUACUAAAAAUAGGCCCAUGAAAAAAAAAACCCACCAGAAAAGAAGUAAACCAAACACCUGAACAAAAAAUUUAAGCUUUGUACAAAUUCCUCAAACAUAUAAGGUUGUUGAAAAAUAAACCUUUAUCAUCCACGAAUAAACACACAAAUUUAUCUAAGCACAAGCCAACCCUUAUAUGAUCGCGCCCAAGCUUUUCUUUUCUAGAAUUGACAUUCCUUAUUUCUCGACAGAUUAAUCAGAAAAAAAUGAAAAAUCGAAACUAUAAUAUUUCCAAAGACAACAAACCCUAAA
rnacentral:misc_RNA from 1 species